UACGUAGGGCGCAAGCGUUGUCCGGAAUUAUUGGGCGUAAAGAGCUCGUAGGUGGUUUGUUACGUCUGCUGUGAAAACCUAGGGCUUAACCCUGGGCCUGCAGUGGAUACGGGCAGGCUAGAGUUCGGUAGGGGAGACUGGAAUUCCUGGUGUAGCGGUGAAAUGCGCAGAUAUCAGGAGGAACACCGGUGGCGAAGGCGGGUCUCUGGGCCGAUACUGACGCUGAGGAGCGAAAGCGUGGGGAGCGAACAGG
rnacentral:rRNA from 1 species